rnacentral:rRNA from 1 species
GAAGGCAAGCGGAUCUCUUAAAGCUGUUCUCAGUUCGGACUGCAGUCUGCAACUCGACUGCACGAAGCUGGAAUCGCUAGUAAUCGCGGAUCAGCACGCCGCGGUGAAUACGUUCCCGGGUCUUGUACACACCGCCCGUCACACCAUGGGAGUCGGAAAUGCCCGAAGCCGGUGACCAAACCAAUAAGGAAGGAGCCGUCGAAGGCAGGUCUGAUAACUGGGGUGAAGUCGUAACAAGGUAGC